UUUCACUCCCAUAUGUUUGGCCUCACCAAGGAAAAGAGGAAAGAAAGAAAGAACAAAACCCUAGUUAGAAAAAUUCAAGAGAAAAUUUUGGAAUUUCAAGGAAUCAAGUGACAAAAGGUAAGAUUUUUCAAUUUUAGCUUGAGAUCUAUCUUUCCUAAGCAUUCUUUCUCAUUUUCCAUGGUUGAAAUUCAUGAUUUCAUGAUGGAUCCCUUGUUGGCCGAACCUAGGGGGAGAAGAUUUGAUGAUGAAUUUAGUUGGAAAACAUGUUAUUCUAGUGUUUUUAGUUGGUUGGUGAUGUGUAGCAUGAAAAGCAAACAAGAAAAAUUCAUGUUCUUCCAUCACCCUUAUUUGGCCGAAUCUUCCUUAUGGUAUAAUGAAUGGUGGAUCUGAUUUUAUUUCAAGUGAUUUGGUUAGGAACUAAUGAUUUAUGGUAUAAAAAAAUCAAGUAUGAAAAACCAUAGUGUUUAUGCACCCACCAUGGCUGAAUUUCAUAAGGAACCUAGUGAUGAUGAUUCUUGUGAUAUCUUGUGUUAUUUAGUUAGAAUUUAAUGAAUGGUGGUGAUGGAAAUCGAAAAUGGUAAUUUUAAAGUAUAGUUCUUUUAGUAAAUAAGUUGAAUAACAAUGAGAAAGUCAAGCUCAUUGAGGCACUUUGGUGUAUUUUGGGACAUUGGAAGUGUGAUGAAUAUAAUUGGAGUCAAUUUGGAUGUUUUGGUUAAAUCAAAGGUGGAGAGUUCGAAUUAGGUCGAAAAUCGAUGCAUUCCGAUCACAAUUGAACCAACGUGUAACACCAUCUUUAAGUGACUAUCCAAACAACCUCAUGCAUUCAUAUAGAGCCUGAAAUAGAUUUAUAAUGAUAUGACACAAUAUAUUGAAUUAUUUGUCGUGUAUUGUGUAUAGGUGGUGAGUCUUCUAACAAAGGUAAAGACAUUGUGCCAGAGGACCAAGAAUAGGAGUAUUUCGAACUCCCGAUAUCAUGAGUAACCUUAUUAUCGUCUUAAUUAUCUAAAGUAGUUUUUAUUCGUAUUUGUGAUUUUAUAGAAAAAUGAGUUUAAAUGGUAAAUCCUUAUGUUUUAUAAGUAAAACGUGAUUAAAUGAAAUGAGUUUUAUAAAUCAUUUUGAAAUUGAAUGAUGAUUUUAGAAAUUGAGUAAUUGGAGACUGUUUGUUUGUGUUGUAAAUUUAUGGUUUGAAUGGAAUGGCUUAUGGUGAUAUUGGCAUGAAUGGUUGAGUUGGAAAUUGUAUUGAAUAUAUGAACUGUUUUGCUUUGCCUUGACAGGCUGGUAAUAUUAUAUUAGCCAUGUUAUGCUGUCGAAAUUUUAUUGAUUUGGUGGGAUAUCGAUUAGCUUACUGCAGUGGGCGGGUUUUUGUUAUGCUUUAGAGUUCAACACACGCUAAACCACCACGUGAGGGUGAACUCAGCCAACGCCAAGGAACGACUAUGCUUUUAAACGAAAAAAAUGUGUUUUAUGCGUAUAUGAACUUUUCUUUAAUAGCCUUGGCGGACUUGGUUGAAUGCCCCGGCCAAGGUAUCCCUGAGAAUGAGUUUUGGCACAAGCCAAAUUUUUAAGAAAUUCAUAAGCCAUGUUUGAUUAUUUGAGUGAAAUGAAUUUAUUUUGUUUAGUUGAAAUGAGUUUGAAACGUUAUGAAUCAUAGUACGAUGAACUAUUUUAAGUUGUCUCCAUUUACUCGACUUUAGAUAUUUUAGAUGAUGUUUGUUUACUCACUAAGUUUAUAUAAACUCACCACCCUUCUUUCCACCCAUUUAAAGCUCAGGUUAGUCAGUAGAUAGCUGAUUUCGUCGAGGGCUACAGUUGGAUUUGCAUCCUCAAAACUGUAGGUUCGUAGCCUUCGUUACUUUUGGUCAUUCGGGGGUGCCCACAUGUCAUUGUAAAUUAAAUUAUACACUCUAGCUCAUUGUAUUACUGCAUGUACGAAUUUAUUUUGCUUUUACGCUAUAAAAAUCAUUUACAGAUAUCUCUAUAAAUAUUGUUAUAUAAGAAAAUAGAAUAUUUUAUUUAAUAUUUUUAUUUUAUUCUAAUAGCUAUCAUUUCACUUUAAAUGAAUGUUUUAGACAUCUAAACUUAUUUUUGGUUAUGGAGUAUGUAUCUUUCACUCAUAUACUACAUUUUUAGAUGGUUUUGAAAUUUUUAGGGAAAAAUGACCAAAAUACCCCUGUGAGACGAAAUUUUUUUUUUAUUGUUUUGGUUUGGAAAUAACUUAUAAUCUUUUAAAAUAUGAUAUUAGCAAUUGUUGCUCACAGGGGAGGUGAGAAAACUGAUAUUAAAGCCUUGUGGGGUUUCAGUUGGUAUUCCGGGUAAUGAAUGUUUAUCAGGACAUCGCGGCAGUUGUCAAGGGCUCGAAGAGAGUACCGGGUCACGACAAUUCGAUUGGUAUUAGAGCUUUUGGAUUUAAAGUCAUUUUAAAAAUUACAGUGUCAGUGUGGCCCCAAGUUAAGUUAGGUUAGGUUGAGUUGAAUGCAUGCAUCAACAUAUAGAACUUGAGGUUGUUUAAACUCGCUUUGUUUCUUCUUAUAGAUCACCAUGCCUCCUCGACGUGGACCCCCACCUUUCUCUAGAUCAGUCGGGAGGGGAAUAGGUCAUUCUCAACAUAGUCAGCCAGAUCCUGUAGAGGGGGAAUAGGCUACGUAUACUAUUCGGGCAACACCUGCUGCUGAGCAGACUGAGAC
rnacentral:lncRNA from 1 species